GCGGAGGAAAAGAAAAUAACAAUGAUUUCCCCAGUAACGGCGAGUGAAGAGGAAAGAGCUCAAAGUUGGAACCUGUUUGGCUUAGCUAAACCGGAUUGUAAACUGUAGAAGUGUUUUCCAGACACGCCUGGUAAAAAAGUCCUUUGGAACAGGGCAUCAUAGAGGGUGAGAAUCCCGUCUUUGGCCAGAGCUGUUGUCUUUUGUGAUACAUUUUCAAAGAGUCAGGUUGUUUGGGAAUGCAGCCUAAAUUGGGUGGUAAAUCUCACCUAAAGCUAAAUAUUUGCGAGAGACCGAUAGCGAACAAGUACCGUGAGGGAAAGAUGAAAAGAACUUUGAAAAGAGAGUUAAACAGUAUGUGAAAUUGUUAAAAGGGAACCGUUUGGAGCCAGACUGGCUUAACUGUAAUCAAUCUAGGCUUCGGCCUGGAUGCACUUGCGGUUUAUGCCUGCCAACGACAGUUUUAUUUGGGGGAAAAAAUUAUUAGGAAUGUGGCCAUUCGUGGUGUUAUAGCCUUUUAAAAAAUACCCUGGAUUGGACUGAGGAACGCAGUGGAUGCCUUUAGGCAAGAUUGCUGGGUGCUUUCGCUAAUAAAUGUUAGAAUUUCUGCUUCGGGUGGUGCUAGUGUUUAAAGGAGGAACUCGCUUAGUAUAUUUUUUAUCCGCUUAGGUUGUUGGCUUAAUGACUCUAAAUGAC
rnacentral:rRNA from 1 species